AGAGUUUGAUCAUGGCUCAGGAUGAACGCUAGCUACAGGCUUAACACAUGCAAGUCGAGGGGCAGCAUGGUCUUAGCUUGCUAAGGCCGAUGGCGACCGGCGCACGGGUGAGUAACACGUAUCCAACCUGCCGUCUACUCUUGGACAGCCUUCUGAAAGGAAGAUUAAUACAAGAUGGCAUCAUGAGUCCACAUGUUCACAUGUAUUAAAGGUAUUCCGGUAGACGAGUGGGGAUGCGUUCCAUUAGAUAGUAGGCGGGGUAACGGCCCACCUAGUCUUCGAUGGAUAGGGGUUCUGAGAGGAAGGUCCCCCACAUUGGAACUGAGACACGGUCCAAACUCCUACGGGAGGCAGCA
rnacentral:rRNA from 1 species